GUGCACAGAGAACACCCCAAGAUUGCCUGGUCGGCUUUGUUGGGCUUUAAAUCUGUGCUAAAAGAAUGUCUGUCCUUUUUCCUCUGCGUUGGAAGAUACAAUUUUUCUUCUACACGUAUUCAGAAGAACAGUACAACA